rnacentral:tRNA from 9 species
GUCCCCUUCGUCUAGAGGCCUAGGACACCGCCCUUUCACGGCGAUAACAGGGGUUCGAAUCCCCUAGGGGACGCCA